UACGUAGGGUGCAAGCGUUAAUCGGAAUUACUGGGCGUAAAGCGUGCGCAGGCGGUUUUGUAAGACCGAUGUGAAAUCCCCGGGCUCAACCUGGGAACUGCAUUUGUGACUGCACAGCUGGAGUGCGGCAGAGGGGGAUGGAAUUCCGCGUGUAGCAGUGAAAUGCGUAGAUAUGCGGAGGAACACCGAUGGCGAAGGCAAUCCCCUGGGCCUGCACUGACGCUCAUGCACGAAAGCGUGGGGAGCAAACAGG
rnacentral:rRNA from 1 species